rnacentral:rRNA from 1 species
UGUAAGCGUAUACCAAAGGUGUUGCAGUUAAAACGCUCGUAGUCGGAAUUUGGCAGUUCCGGAAGUGUGCACGUCGUGUGCGCACUUUGCGGGGACUGCUUUUGUGGUCUUGCGUAGGAUGAGGCACUUUCAUUAGUGAACGUCCUCACGCAACCACUCUUUACUGUGAGAAAAUCAGAGUGCUCAAAGCAGGCAUUUGCCGUGAAUGUAUUAGCAUGGAAUAAUAGAAUAGGACUCGGUUCUAUUUUGUUGGUUUGUUGGGACUGAGUAAUGAUUAAGAGGGACAGUUGGGGGCAUUUGUAUUCCGGCGCUAGAGGUGAAAUUCUUAGAUUGCCGGAAGACAAACUGCUGCGAAAGCGUCUGCCAAGGAUGUUUUCAUUGA